UGAUCUUCUUAAUUACAUCAAAGGGUGAAUUAGUAAUUCUUCAAGACAGGAAACAAGAUAAAACAUAGAAAUAAUAGAUAAAACAUUAAAGGAAAAAGUUAUCAACAAUCAACACUUUGGAGGUCAGGUUUACGUCCCCUACCUUUCAUUCAAAUUUGCUUAAUUCUACAUAUCAAGUAGGGGUCGAUGUUAUCGAUCAACAUAAUGGAAACAGCUGAGGACGGAGAAACGGCAAAGACCAGCAAUAAGCCUCCACCACCCGCUCAUUCGCCGCCAUCUGAAGAACUAUCUUCUUCAACAUCCUGGCAGGGCAAAACACCACCCGCCAGUGCACCACCUGGCGCGACGCCAUGCAGAACCCUCUUUUCUUGUUUCCCAGCCGUACCGUGCUGCCCUUCCUCCUCCUCUUACGGUGGCGCGUCCGGCACCACCCCAGGACCACGGCGAUGUUAGAAAAGAGAGAGAUAGUGAUGCCUCUCUUAAGCAUUUGCUUAGUUUUUG
rnacentral:lncRNA from 1 species